rfam:Cellulophaga lytica DSM 7489, complete genome.
UCCUUUAUAUAUUUGAACUAAUGAAAAUAACAACUAACAUAUGGUGGUGGAACAACUUACGUCAAACGUCGUGAGCAAAGCACCAUUGUAACAAUAUACAUUAAAGGCUUGUC